rnacentral:tRNA from 1 species
ACCCAGGUGGGUGGUCCGGCGGUCUGCGGGCUGCUGGCGCGCGAACUGGAGACGCGCUCCCCGGGUGCGGAGUUCGUCCCGGCCCGGGUC